rnacentral:rRNA from 1 species
GACGAACGCUGGCGGCGUGCCUAAUACAUGCAAGUAGAACGCUGAAGGAGGAGCUUGCUUCUCUGGAUGAGUUGCGAACGGGUGAGUAACGCGUAGGUAACCUGCCUGGUAGCGGGGGAUAACUAUUGGAAACGAUAGCUAAUACCGCAUAAGAGUAGAUGUUGCAUGACAUUUGCUUAAAAGGUGCAAUUGCAUCACUACCAGAUGGACCUGCGUUGUAUUAGCUAGUUGGUGGGGUAACGGCUCACCAAGGCGACGAUACAUAGCCGACCUGAGAGGGUGAUCGGCAACACUGGGACUGAGACACGGCCCAGACUCCUACGGGAGGCAGCAGUAGGGAAUCUUCGGCAAUGGACGGAAGUCUGACCGAGCAACGCCGCGUGAGUGAAGAAGGUUUUCGGAUCGUAAAGCUCUGUUGUAAGAGAAGAACGAGUGUGAGAGUGGAAAGUUCACACUGUGACGGUAUCUUACCAGAAAGGGACGGCUAACUACGUG